rfam:Candidatus Levybacteria bacterium RIFCSPHIGHO2_02_FTLL_37_13 rifcsphigho2_02_scaffold_4297, whole genome shotgun sequence.
GCGGGAUUAGUACAGUGGCAGUAUGCUACCUUCCCAAGGUAGAGAUGCGAGUUCGAUUCUCGUAUCCCGCU